CGUGUAGGCGGUUUGUACAGUCAGAUGUGAAAUCCCCGGGCUUAACCUGGGAGCUGCAUUUGAUACGUGCAGACUAGAGUGUGAGAGAGGGUUGUGGAAUUCCCAGUGUAGAGGUGAAAUUCGUAGAUAUUGGGAAGAACACCGGUGGCGAAGGCGGCAACCUGGCUCAUAACUGACGCUGAGGCGCGAAAGCGUGGGAGCAAACA
rnacentral:rRNA from 1 species